UGGCACUUUUUUUAGAAUCAUUUUAAUUAGAUAAUAGGUUUAAAGAUGUAAAUAAAACUGUGCAUGCUGUAAAUUUAGACUUUUUAGUGUAACUGAACACUAUCAAUUAUGGAAAUUAUAUUAUGAUUUUAUUUUACUAAAUUUUUCUUUUUGUGUAUAUUUUUUGUUUUAUUUUGUAUUUUUAUAAUUUUAUUGCCUUAUUCUUUAAUUGUAGAGAAUUGUUAUUUCGAGUUUUUGUUUCAUAUACCUUAAAAGUCUUCGGUUGAUUUUUGUUUGUUUGCUUUUUCCAAUUAUAAUGUACAGUUUGACCGUUUUUUUUGGAGAUCAAACUACAAAUAUCAUCAGAUAGAAAAGGUUAAACUCCAAGAAUAGAGUGAAUACUUGUGUUAAAGAAAACUGAUUUAGCCAAUAAUAUAGUGAGAUAUUAUAAUAUUAGAAGGUAUGAAAACUCUUCUCUCUUGUCCUACGCUGGACAUAAUUAAUUUGUUGUCAAUUGAUUAUAUAUUUGUGAUAACUCGAAAUACAUCUUUAUGUCUUCUUUACAUCAUCCUUAAUUGGUUUACGGUUCGACCAUUUCUAAUAUACUAAGAGUAACAUAAUAUUAGAUGUUGAUUAUCUCCUUCCAAUUAUGAAUGCACAGAAUGACAAAAAUUCAAGGUGGGACCACUUUACAAAUUUGUCUUCAUAUCUAUAUAGAGUUAGUUUAUAGAUUACUCUAUCUGUUUCAAAAUGUAAUAAGUUUUAAUUAAAAUUUGUAAUAUUUAAAAGUUAUUACUCUAGAAAACUGUCAUUUAAUAUAUAUAUAAAUUUAAUCAAUUACACAGUAAUUUACAUAAUAGCCAUAAAAUAUCCAAUAAAUAUAAAGUUACAUUGAAAUAUAAAAACAAUUUAUAUAGUGAAACAAAAAAUACUUUUAAAUCAUUAUAUUAUAAAACAAAGGAAAUAUUCAAAUUAUAUUGAAACAUUAGAAUAGUAAAAAUCAGAAAAGCUGAAAUCUCAACGUCGAUCAUUUACGUCGGCCAUGCCUUAGACCAUCUCCAAUAUAUUCCUCUAUUAUUUUUUUCUAAAAUAGAGGAAUUACAUAUUAGAGAUGGAUUUGUCUGUCAUGUAUUUUCUAUUUUCUCUCCUAAAAAGGAAUAUUCUUGAUAUAUUAUUUUAUAAGUUUACAAAUAAUAUUUUUUAUUUGAGAAAGUUGAAAACCAGCCCAAUUUAUUUUAGUAUUUUAUAAAAUAUGAUAUUAUUUACACUAAAUAUUUCUUUACAUACUAUUAUGUAAAUAAAUAAUAUAAUUAUAUUUAUAUAAAUAAUAUAUUUCACUAAAAAAAUAUUUUCGGUUAUAAUUGUUUAAGUAAAAAAGGUAAAGGAUCAUUUUGUAAAAAUAAAUCGAGGAGGUCACAUGGCAAAGAUAUAGUUUUUCAUAGGCCAAUUAUUUUCGCCUACGUGGACACUCUAUCUGAUGCUUAUAUCCUCUAUUUUUAAUUAAAAUUUGUAAUAUUUAAAAGUUAUUACUUUAGAAAACUGUCAUUUAAUAUAUAAAUUUAAUCAAUUACACAGUAAUUUACAUAAUUUAAUUGGCUACACAAUAUCCAAUAAGUAUAAAGUUACAUUGAAAUAUAAAAAUAAUUUAUAUAGUAAAACAAAAAAUACUUUUAAACCAUUAUAUUAUAAAGCAAAAAGGGAAUAUUCAAAUUAUAUUGAAACAUUAGAAUAGUAAGAAUCAUAAAAACUGAAAUCUUAAUGUCGAUCAUUUACGUCGGCCAUGCCUUAGACCAUCUCCAAUGUAUUCCUCUAACUUUUUUUUUUCUAAAAUAAAGGAAUUUCAUAAUUGAAGAGAUAGAUUUGUCUCUGAUGUAUUUUUCUAUUUUCUCUCCUGAAAAAGAAUAUUCUUGAUAUAUUCUUUUCUAAGUUUAUAAAUAAUACUUUUUAUUUGUGAAAGUUGAAAAUCAACCCAAUUUAUUUUAGUAUUUUAUAAAAUUAUGAUACUAUUUACACUAAAUAUUUCUUUACAAACUAUUAUGUAAAUAAAAACUAUAAUUAUAUUUAUAUAAAUAAUAUAUUUCACUAAAAAACUAUUUUCGGUUACAAUUGUUUAAGUAAAUAGUUAAAGGAUCAUUUUGUAAAAACAAAUAGAGAGGUGACAUGACAAAAAUAUAGUUUUUCAUUGGCCGAUUAUAUUCGUCUACGUGGACACUCUAUCUAAGUCUUAUAUCCUCAUUUUAUUACUUGUUUGAUCCCUAUAAUUCUUUUAAGAACUUCACUGUAUGCAUAAACAAAUUUUUUAUAAUAUAUCAUUAUUUUUUAAAUAAUUGUUUAAUGCUUAUACAAAGAUUAUAUUUCAAAUAUAAGUAUAAAUAAAAGUUUUUUAAACAGUUCAAUUUAAAUUUAAGUUCAAUAAUGAUAUAUAUAAAACAUAACAAGCAAUAACAUAAAGAAUACAUAAAUUGUACCGAUUUUUAAAAAAAAUAAUAUAGUACAGUUUUUAAAAACCUCACAUGAAAUAAACUUAUCAUAAUAUUGAUUAGAAUGACUGAAAAAUCGUUGACACACGAAAAAAAAAGAAUGACUGAAUAAUCAAUUAAACCAUCUCCAUAUUGUCUAAGAUCACUAGGCCAAUUGAAGUAGAUGCAAAUAAGUUUCUUGACUUUGAUGUUGUGUAAUCCUUUUAUGUAAAAUCUGUGUUUGUUUAAUAUGAACAGAUGUAUGAUUCUUUAAGUAACCGAAUAACCGUUUGAUGUUUAAAAAAAACCCAAAUAUAUGAAACUACGGUCUAACCCUUUUAUGUAAAAUUUGUGUUUGUUGAACAUGAAUAGAUAUAUGAAUCUUUGGUCUUGAGUCAAAUCUCAAAAUAAACAUUGUUCUCCACUUUAAGUUAUUCUAUUUUGAAUCUCUAAUUGGUGUUUCUAUUAUGUAGUUGUCUUCUUUAAUUGUUUCAAAAAUUGUACAGUGAUAUUCGAUAAAUUAAUUAUGAUAAACUAAAAAAUUCUUCAGAUUUGGAGUUGGGCCGGUUUUAAGUGUAUUACAAUUUGAUAAGAUAAUAAAAUUUUGAAACACCUUUAAAAAUACAUGGUCACACUAUAAUCAUAAAUUAAUAAUUAUUAUGUGAAGUUUAUAUAAAUAUAUAAACAAAGUAUUAUACUUUUUAUAUUUAUUCCCAAUGAAAUCGCUUUUUAACUAUUUUUAACAUUCGUAUGUUAUUUUAUUAGACUACAUCUAAAACCUUUUAUAAAUUGUAUAUUACAUAUCUCGAUACAACAAAUAAUCUUAAAUAAAGAAGAUAAAUUUGAAUAUAUUACAUAUAGUGAGUAUACAACACCGUAAAAGCAGUUAUUCUUUUUAUUUUACAUAAAUAUAUAUAUUUACAAAUAUAUCAAUUAAAAAAAUCUUUAAAUUAAUAAUUCGUUAAAUUAAUAAAAUAUUAAAAAAUAACGUUAUUAAUUUAUGGAGUUUUUAUUGUAUGUUUCCCUUAAAAGAUCUUGAUCACUAUUGAUGUUUGAUUGUUACCUUUUCUUUUUAGCAUGUAGAAAAGACGUGGAAUGUGUUCUAUGAAUUCUCCAGUUACUCUUGUGAAAGUAUAUGUUUUUGUUUUUGGAAAAUAUAAAUGUGAUUCCUAAAUGUAUGUUUUACACAACAUGAUAACUAAAGAUGAGAUUGACCUGAUACACCAAUCUCUAUUAUUAAAAUAGAAGUAUGGUUAAUACCUAUAACCCUAAGUUUUCAUAUUUUUUUACAAUGGUAUGCUACUGAAGUAAUUAAAUGAACAUAUCUUUAAGUAAUCAUUAUUGUCUUUUCCUAUUCACUAAACCAUUUCCUAAAUUAAAUUUAGCUUAAUUUUCGUAUUUAAUAUAUUUCCUAAAACAAAUUAGCUAGUUUUUGGGAAUAUUCAAAUUUAAAAUCGAUCUUAACAAUAUUAAACUUGGAUAAUGUUACCAUUAAUUAUUUUUGAACAAAAUUCAAGUUUAAAUUGGAUAUUAAACAAUAUGAUGAAUAUUUCAAAAAUAUAUGUUUAACUUAUCAUUAAUUAUUUUGAACAAUAAAAUCUAUAUAUGCAAAGAUUUAAAUAUUUUUAAACUACUUAUAGAACAAUAUGAAAUAUUUGUAACUGAAUAUUAUUUUUAAUAUAAUUAUAUCUCGCCUAAGAUUAUAUAUAUUUCAAAAUUUUCUAAAACAUAUGUUUAACCAUUCGGUUACUAUUAAUUUUUUUCAAAAAAAAAAUUAAUAUUAAAAUUUAAAUAUCUUUGAAUUACUUAUGAAACACUGUUAUGUUUAUAACCAAAUAUUCUUUUCUAAUGUAUCUAAAUCUCCACCAUAUUCCCCAUAUUUGAUCAAAAUAUUUAAAUUCUUAUUACAUUUGAAAAACAAUUUCAUGUUAAAAGAAAUAUUACUCAAACAUAUCAAUAGAUCAAUAUU